UGAUGUGGAUUAGAGUCGCCACAAGUCCGCUGCUCCCCGCUGCCUCCGGCACCUGCGGCACAUAAUUUGCUUUUAAUUUUUGUAUAUUUGCUGCGAUGGCAAAUCAACAAAAUGAAAAAAUCUAAAAAUGAAAAUUUCAACAUAUCAAAGCUCGGCUGGAGUGGAAAGAAAAACCCAAACCAGAAACCAGAAAAAAUAAAAACGUUUUAAGCACGCGCCCCUUCGCAACUGAAGUAGAAAUGCGUGCAAGGCUCCCAAAAUUUAAUAAUAAUUCGCUGCAGACGCAAUACCCUUAAGGAAAUGUAUAGGAAAACAAAAGCAAUAGGAUUUAUUUAUGGAAUUGUCUAGAAUAAAAAAUGAAUGGAAGACAAAAAGGGGCAUGAUAUAAUACCUGAACAAAUAUGUCCUUAAAAUAAGACAUAGGUUAGAGUAAGGUUUUAUUUUUAGAGCUUUCUAGAAAGCAAAAUGAAUAGAAUACAAAGAGAGUGAUAACAUUAUCAAUAGAUAUAAUAGCUAAGCAAAAAAUGAUAUAUGUAAAGCAAUAAUUAUAUUCUUGUCACAAUUUAUUUUUAGAACUUCAUAAUUAGAAAUGAAUAUAUACAGCAUGAUUUCAAUAUCAAUAAUAAUACAUAAAGAAAUAAGUAUUUUAAGCAACACUUAAAUCAAAGCAAGAAUAUUUUUCUCCAUAAUCAGAUGUGAACAGAAUACAAAGAGCAUAAUGAAAGUAGUUAAAUAUCUUGAUCAAAAGUAAAAUAAGCGAAGGAAAGGAAAGGUAACUUUGAUCAAAUCUCCUUCUGUACACACGAAUACACUCGCCAUGGCACAGUCCUAAUGCUCUCGUCAAGGGUAUUACCAAGAGGAAGCAAAGUUGUGUUCUAUUCAAAAGCGAAAAAGCUGGCAGAAAUAUGGAAUGAAAUGAAAUGUCGCAGAAAUGGAAAGAAUUGUUGGGAAAUGCAUACGCGGACAAUUUUUUAAUGCGAAGGGAGGUAACAUGAAACGCUUAAUGGCGUUCGUUGGCUGGCAAUAAGCAGGCGAAGAUGCCACAAAAUGUUUGCCGGGCCAAAGGAUAAGGGACAAAACAGCCAACAGGAGCAGUGAAGCAAAAGUGAAAUGCGCUUGCAGCAGCUUAAAUUUAUAUGACUGAAUGUAUGUAUGUAUGUGUGUGUGGGUGGGUGGGUAAGUGUGUGAGUGCAGUGAAGCGUAAGAAUCCUGGCAACAAUAUCAAUAUGCGUCUCUUGUGCUGCGUUUGCUACGUAAAGCAACGCCGCUGGCAUUGUCAGCGGAGACCCAAACCCAUGCGCCCCUCGCUCCGCGCUCCACUCUUGACGCCUUGGGCCACCGCUCCCUGCUGACAAUUGUUUGCCAGCGGAAGUUGAUUUUCUGGCAGAGCGGAAGUGCUGAAGCGCUGGAAAAUGCCGCGGCAACUGAACGAGACUCUGCUGAGCGGGACAACACUUUGAAUUUCAUAUUCGUUCAAUUUUUUCAUUUUUUCUGUUUUGCUUUUUUUUUUUUGUUUGCUUUGACGCAUAAAUUUUCAUCUAACUGACACAAGCAUCAGGCAAAUGCGUACAAAUGCGCACCACACAUGUGUGCAUACAAACAAAUAUGUCUUUGUAUGUAUGUCCGUGCAUACAUACUCACACGCGCACACACAUGUUGUGGCAACAUUCUGCUAAUGCCUUAGCAUUGCGUAUCAAAGGCACCUGGACUGGAGCCACUGCCGCAGACGGAGCCCAAUUAACUCUAAUGCGUGUUCGCUGCCGGCCUUAAAGAUUUUGUUGUUUUCUGUUUUUUGCCUUCUCUGCUCUCUACCUUUAAUUUCUGCGAGGAUCGGCUCGUAUAGCCGCUGGGCAAACGCCGAUGAUCGUUGUCAAAAAAAAAAUAAAGAAUGAAGAGUCGUUCAACAAUAACAAGAAUAACAGCAAAAGAACAAUGUGCGAUCCUGCUUUGCUCAAUCUUUGUCUGCGAUCGAGUUCAAAGCAACAGCAGCAAUGCAAGAUCAUUGCUGUCUCGGCCGAUGCUGCUGCGAGCGUCGCAGCGCUGCUUGUAGCGGCAGCAGCGCCAACGGCAGCGGUACCUUGACUUUUGACGUUGUUCCGUAUUGCAAUAGCCUGAACAAAACACAAUAAAGUAAUGUCUUACUUUAGUAUAUAGUCACACUGACACACACACACGUAAGCUCCCACACACAAAUAAACACACACACACAUUCAGGGAAAACAGAUUCUAUUUUAAUUACGCAGGCGGCCUUCCGAAUGAAGACCAUUGACAAUUGACGAUUUGCGUUUCGCUUGAUUUUGUUGCUGUUUUCGUUUUGUUUAAUGAAAAGCGGAAAACUGACAACGACUCAGUUAGCGAUAGAUAGUGGAAUCAAACACCCAUCGUGCGAAGAGCCGGCUGCGGCUGAUUUUAGUUGAGGGGGGUCAAAAAGGUGUAGAGGUGGUGAGGCGGAGGUGUGGCAUGCAACGUACAGUGCAGUGCACACACGGGCGCAGCCGCGUGCCGUUUGUUAUUUAUAGCAAUUUGAUGCCGUUGCCUCUUCUCUGCCGCAACGGCAACAGCAACAGCAACAGCAGCAACAGCAGCAUCAACAGUAACUGCGGCGUGUUUGUCGUCGUCUGCUCAAAGUGAACGCAAAAACGAAACGCGGGGCUAACAACAGCAGCCGCUGCUGAUAAGGAAAACGCAUAGAACGCGAUCGAACGGCGAGUGCAAAGAUCGCGACAAAACUGAUCCAUUCAUUUCAAUGCUCGACCGACGGACUGUCUAAUAUAAUAGAUUAGCGACUAGGAAUUAUAUGAACUCAACAUGUGCAGUGCACUAGAUUGUAUUCACUCUUGGCACCACACACACUCCGGAUCCUUUUGGACUUUAUGCGAACACUAAUUCUGCUUCAGAUCAAACAAGUUUGUUGCUAUUAUUCUUUCGUUCGCGUUAUUUAGCCGCAACAAUGGAAUACACGUCCGUUCACGACGAAAGGUUCUCGCGGUUUGAUUGGAGAGAUUCAAACAUAAACAGAGCCAGCGUUUCAAUUGCUGCACAGCUGUGCCUAGCAGAGAGCGAGCCAGAAAGAGAGGGAGAAAGAAGGAAAGGGAUAAAGCGCAUGUGCCUAGACAAUUGCUAACAGCUGCUUUUGAAAAUGUACAACGUAUAACGAAAAUUCAAAUUCAUAUCAUUGUCAGGUUGUCAUAUCCUUUAGAAACUAAGUAUUAUUUCUUAUAAAUUAACUAUAAACUAUUAUUCACUAUUUAAUAUUAUUUAAUAUUUCAUAAAAAUAUUCAAGAAACUAGAAUUGCAUCGAAAUAACUUUGAUUUAAACCGAAAUUUUUAAAUGAUUAAUGAAAUUUUAAUUGACAGAAACUUCUUGUGCAGAAACUUCCUUAAAGUAACAAUUGUUUAUAUCACAUAAUGAAUUCAUAGAUUUCAUUGUGCCAGACAAAUAUAUUAUGUAGGUUUUGUAAAUGUAAAUAAAAAUAUAAUAGAAUAUCUAGUUUCACACA